GAUAUGAAUAUAUAUUUUUAGAAUAAAUUUUCCUUUAAUGAUUACACAGUGGGCUAUAAAAUGUCACCUGACUAAAAACAAUAGCGUGUGCAUGUGAGCGUGAGUGAAUAUAAAUAUUACACUUGUGUAAAAGAUCGUAGAUAACAUCAAAAUCCAAGUCCAGAGAGCGUUCUCGCGGGUCAAGGCCUGAGGUUGGCCGCUGGCUACCGCAGCAACAACACGAGCGAAUAUUACAAGGCACAUUCACGAGCAGCAUAGAGAGAAGAUGCCUUAUCGGCAAUUCGGUGGCACGAAAACCUUGUGUUUGAGGGGGUGGCAAUGAACCCCAACGCCCUAGAGAGAAAAGCACAGUGCGUGUGAUGUAGGAGUUGGAGGACCGUAUCGCAGUGAUUGUCCGCCUCAUUCUACAUUCAUGCUUAUUCCGAAAAGUCCAAUUAUUGUGCAUUCGCCAUUAGGUUUUUGAGCAGGUGUUUCGUAUGAGAUAAAAACCUUUUUAACGUUGUGAAAGUUAGAAGCCAAAAUGGCGUAAAAUGUGAAAAAAGAAAAUGUUGGUAUGAAGUUGUUGCUAUUUUCUACCAAAAUUUGUCUUCAACCUGCAAUUAUAGCAAAUCAAUGAAUUCUGAUGAUUUUUUUUUAAUUUGCAGGUGUUUCAUGAGUGAGUAGUGGGUUGGAUUAAUAUUAUAAUUUGAGAUUUCAAUAUAUUUUCCCUGCCAUCCUGCGUGGCAAUAUUUAAAUGAACUGCGCACUGUAAUUCCUCGUCACUUGGAGAGCAAGGCCAUAUUAUACUUUAAAUUUUACGAUAUUCGUAUUCAUUAAAAUUCACGCGCAUAAAACAAACAUUAAACGCUUUUAUACAUUUAAACGAGUGCGUUUGUAUGUACUUGUGUGCAAUUCACGGGUCGAUCCGCAGCUCAUUUCUUGGUCUCCAUGGCUACAGGGCCGGCAGUGUGACGCCUGCACCCUCUCCGCACCAUUUGUCACUUGGUUUAACAAAGAAUUCGGGCCCGAGGCACCGCCUCCGCCUGCCGAACCGCGCAAACAUUGUGUUGCCCGAACAAAGGUGCUGGGCUGGGCCUGGCUCAAUUUGAUUGCCCCUCGCGCCCCCCGCGGAUUUCGCCAGUUGUGCCGCUUGUGUUGUUGUUGUGUAUUGUUGCAGAAAGCGGUGCGCCGCGUGUUUGCUUAUAUUGAUCCCACACCGCCAGCUAUUAUAUUUAAUUAAGCCGGGUGGCCUAGUUGCUGAAUUUAAUCUAAUCAUGAAAAACGAGCCGCGAAAAUGACGGACACGUCGUCCGUAAUUAGACAAUGCUGUUACAGGACUAAAAAGCCGUUGAGCGCCGCGCUAACUGGCAAUUUUUGGUCACUUGUUCAAUCGUCAGUCACCUUAACUUUGAGCUAUAAGGUAUUUAAGUUUCAGCAGUAGCACCAACCACCAAUAAAAAAUGUUACCAUAAAUGAUGGGGGAAACUAUAUUUUUUUAAUAAAAUUAGGUUUAGCUGUGGAGGGGCAUGCUCACCAAAUGAAAAGACACAAGCUUUGCAGCCAUUUUUCUCUACAAAUAUCGCCAAAAUUUAGCUCUAAUUAAAACCUUAAAGAAUUUUCAAGGUUUCAUAACUACAUUCCUCUUUACAAUAAAUUGAUUAUAAUUGUAAGUGUACGAAAACUCAAAAGAGGAAGAUUUAGACCAAAGUUCACAUAAAAAUUCAGAAUCAUAGUUGGAGAAAAAAAUCGAAAUAUAAGAACUGCAAGUAAAAGAGUUUGACUGGCUGCCGAGACGAAAUAUCAGGCUGAGACCUCAACAAAGGGGGCAGUGCUGCGUACUGUGGCGAAUGAAGUUAGAAUGAGCACUCUCUGAUAGAAGUUCACCACUUCUGCGUAGUAAAUUUUCUCAAUGGGAAUCGUUUGGAAAGAUAAAACAAAAAUGCUGUUUGCGCCGGCAAGUGCUCUUUUUCCCUGCCGCACAUUCAGCGUAAACUACCAUCAGUAAAGGCCUUUUUUUAUAAACGCAUGAAAAGAUAAAAUUAGAUUUAUUCUCAAGAACUGCACUCGAGGAAACCCAUAAAAAUCGAGCCCUUUCAGCUGAAUAACAAACACUCUUUACGAUUGCUCACAACAGUUGUUGAUGCAAGAUUAAAUCAUAAAAAGCAACAAACUUGCGACCUGUGUGCACAUAUAUAUGUAUAUACAUAGUCAGUUGGCAUGCACCGCUGCAAUUGUCCGCGACAGCAGACAGACGUAGCGCGAGCAGCAUUCCACUCUCGCUCCGCAUCUCGGCAGCCGCGCCGCGCGCAUUAAUAUUAAGAACACCCAGCUGUGAGGAAUGAAACAAUAAAUCUCGAAUCGCAGACUCCCGCGCCACGCCGACGGACGUCUACAAUAAAUUCUCGCGUAAAAUAUUGUCCAUUACGACGGGCACCUCACGAUAUUAAAAUUGCACGUGUCUUCCUCGCAGCUCUCGCGAAAGAAAAACGCAACAUAAUGUGAGUGGCGGAGUUGGUGCAAGCUAAGCAGGUGUGGGUGUGGGUGCCACUUCGCCACCGCUGUGCUCAUUCAUACACCUCGCUCUUGGCAGACGGCAAAUACACUCCUCGUGAUGAUGUUUCAUGGAAGAUUCAAUUCACGCGCUUCCCUUGUGUAUACCACACGCAUGGUGCAGCGGUAAUUGUGUUGGUGCUUCUUGCGGCUGACCAACUGACAUAACAACCACACAGAGAGGUGAUAUGUGUUCUGGAAGUGGACACGCGUUAAAUACUUUUGGAGAGAGUAAGUAAUGAACCGAAAUAAAUCGAGAUUUUUAACCUUUAGAUGAGCGUUUAUCCGACAAAUAAUGAGAUUCGUAAGAUAGAUUCUUAAAUAAAUUUAAAAGGAUAUCUUUUUGGGAUUAUAAAAGAUGAGGGGCUGAAAUAGAAUUAUUUCGCACGUUGCAAAACUAUUGAUUAAUUUCAUUGAUGAUGUUAUAACGCAUCAUCAAAAAGAUAAAUUUGUGAUAAAAUCUCUUGGAACCCGGCACUCGCUCUUUCAGCGAUAUAAUUCACCCAUAAAGAAAAUUCUCAAGUCCAAAAUUUCAGUUGAACAAAAUUUUACAUGAUUGAUUCUGCGCAGAGCAAAAUUACAAUUCCUGGAUAUGACUGCAUGUAAAUAAAAAUAAGGCUUUAUUCCUGCUGGCAGAAAUAUUUGUAUCAUAACUAUAGUUUUGAAGCCGUGGUUGGCACCCUGAUUCAUAAAAUAUGCCAAAUUUUUAAAAUUUUCCUCUACAAGGAAUGCAAUAUAUCUGAUCUGCGUGGUGGAAAUAAAAAAAAUCGCUACACAGAUAUGAACGAAAUAAGUUUUGCAGCGUUUUCCUGGUAGUUAAUUUGCCAACAUCAAAGGGAGCAAAUCAGGCGGAAAAGAAGCUUUCAGCGCUGGUCGAUCGGGAGAGUGCGCAAAAUAACGCCCGGGAGCUUGUCGAUUGAUUUAUUGCGUUAAUGUUGGUUUAGCACACACUCACGUGCGGCACUGACCACAACACACACCCACUCUGGUCGCCCGGCAGCUAGUGGAGUUCGGUGACCCUUGCCUAAUAAAAUAUUGACCCACUAAACGAAAGCGCGGCGCCUACCGCUCAGCGCGCGACGCAAACAAACCCAGUAUGUUAUGCCUUGGAAAUUUCGGGAAUUUUUUCCUUGAUUUUCUGGCCAUAGCUCAAUUUAUAAUAAUUUAUUCAUAGAAUGAUCAUCGGAGCUUGUGCAAAUAAAAACAUCACGCAAGCGCCACUCGGGGAGGGCCAUAUUGUUACUCGCCGCCAGUCCCAAGAGACUCCUUUGCCGACCUUAGCACUGCUUCCUCUUGCCGGGGCCAAUCUAAUCUGGUCUAUCGCUUGUUCCAGAGAAAUUGGCUCCGAAUUAUACGGGCCUCGCCACGCAAUGACGUCAUUAUCUCGCUUUGUAACAGUCGCUGAAGCAAGAGAUGGACGGUGGGGCGCGUGUCAGUCUGUUAUACCCAUCGUGCCGCUCUUGCCACCUCUCGCGCGGCAAGAAGAGAAAAUUAGCGUGACCUGCAGAAGUGCGAGUCGCCAGGGAGUCGUAAAAGUUGAAGUUGUGUGGCAACAAUUUUUCGCGUUAAACUCUUGACUUGUGAAAUGAUGAGGUGGCGCCGCCGGCUUCAAAGCUUUGCACUUUUGUUGUAAAGUUGAGACAUGUGUUUUGUACCAAAGAAGCAAGUAGAAGGAUUUUUUACUAUUCAAGCCAUCGUCCGUGAUGUGAUAAAAUCUUUUGCCCAAGAAACAUUCUUGUGAUGCUUACACUUUUAAAUGUCCGAAGUGUCAAAAGCAAGCUCACGCGCAAAGAUUGAUAGUUAAGUUUUGAGAUACAGAGUUUGUUUGACAUAUUUCAAUGAAAUGAAAAACUAACAUUCUUGGAGACAGAGUUGAUGAUAGAUAUAUUUUCAUGCUUUGUAUAUUUUUUCGAGUUUUAUUAAGACAGGGUGCUGCAAAAAUCCCUAGAAAAGCU